CCUACGGGAGGCAGCAGUGAGGAAUAUUGGUCAAUGGGCGCUAGCCUGAACCAGCCAAGUAGCGUGAAGGAUGACUGCCCUAUGGGUUGUAAACUUCUUUUAUAUGGGAAUAAAGUGCAGUAUGUAUACUGCUUUGCAUGUACCUUAUGAAUAAGGAUCGGCUAACUCCGUGCCAGCAGCCGCGGUAAUACGGAGGAUCCGAGCGUUAUCCGGAUUUAUUGGGUUUAAAGGGAGCGUAGGCGGGUUGUUAAGUCAGUUGUGAAAGUUUGCGGCUCAACCGUAAAAUUGCAGUUGAUACUGGCAGCCUUGAGUACAGUAGAGGUAUGCGGAAUUCGUGGUGUAGCGGUGAAAUGCUUAGAUAUCACGAAGAACUCCGAUUGCGAAGGCAGCCUGCUGGACUGCCACUGACAUUGAUGCUCGAAAGUGUGGGUAUCAAACAGGAUUAGAUACCCCAGUAGUC
rnacentral:rRNA from 1 species